rnacentral:rRNA from 1 species
AUACGGAGGGCGCAAGCGUUGUUCGGAAUUAUUGGGCGUAAAGCGCGUGUAGGCGGCUUGGUAAGUCGGAUGUGAAAUCCCGGGGCCCAACCCCGGAACUGCAUUCGAAACUGCCUAGCUAGAGUCUCGGAGAGGAAGGCGGAAUUCCCGGUGUAGAGGUGAAGUUCGUAGAUAUCGGGAGGAACACCAGCGGCGAAGGCGGCCUUCUGGACGAUGACUGACGCUGAGACGCGAAAGCGUGGGGAGCAAACAGGAUUAGAAACCCCGGUAGUCC